rnacentral:lncRNA from 1 species
CACUUGGAAUAUUUAUGGUGUCCCAAGUCACCGGUUUAUUUUAAAUCCCAAAUCGAGAAAAUUUUACUCUGUUUAAAGUCUGCAAAAACCAGAAGACAGGGUAAGGAAUUCUGUUAACCCGGAAGAAGGUGUUAGGCAUUCCCGGAUUUCACAAUUUUAGCACGGUCGCUUUAAUCAUAUCUGGCUUAAUUGUUUGUUUUAAUUACCUAUUUUAGAACCUAUGUGUAUUUUACCUUUUACCGCUUUUAAUUAUGACAUUUAUGGAUUUAUAAAACGUGCCUAAAGCAUUCUAGGAAUAUUUGUGAGUUAAUUAAUUUUCUAAGUCAUUCUUCCCUAAGUUAAAGAUUGCGUGUGCAAGGUUCCUGAUUAUGGAACAAUUGUUGGCAAGGGUUACUUAAUCAAAUCUGGUGAUGAAUUAGGUGGGUUUAUACUCUCACAAGGUUUAUGAAGCCAACUAUAUUUUCAUUAUUCUAAAUCUGAGGCUCGUAUGCAUCUGUUUGAUUUCUGAAGUUACUUAAACUAAAUCAGAUGGGUAAGAAGAAAGUUUGUUUUUUUAGAAAUAAAUUGAAUCCAAGAUAAAAUCUGCAUAGCAGUAUUCUUGGCCUAGCGGCUGAUAACAAUGGGCCUAAACGGCUGGCCCAAUCACACUAUAUUCAGGCUGCCCUUAAUUGAUAAAGAUUUUUCAAAACUGGGCCAUUUCAUUACCAGGCCCAGAAUCAAAAUAACAUACAUGCAGACUUCAAACAAUUGAGUGAAUCUCGAAUUUAAACAAUGCUGGAAAAACAAACAUUAUUACAAGCUUGAUUUCAAAUGAAAUGUUACAACUUGGCAUCCAAAUGGUUAAACUAUUACUCUCGCUCCUGAUUUACAUGUUCAUGAUUCUCAUGCUGGCCUUGACUUCAAACAUUAAAAUACAUAUUUCAGUAGUGAGCAUCAUUGAUCCAAAUCCUCGAAAUUGUUUGAACACUGUUGUUUGCAUUGCUAGAGCAUUUCACACCAACAUAUCAAUUAGUUACAUUUGGAUAAGCUUCUACUUCUGAAUUAAAAUACAAGUGUGCCAUAACUUUAGACUAGAUUUGCAUAACAUAGUUCAUUAUAUACUUCACCAGAAUCAGUAGUAAUGAGCAAAAUCAGCUCAAAGCUUAGCUCAGAAAACAAACAACCAAAUCAGUUAUCGGCAGACAAUACAAGUAGGAAUAGGUUUAACGAUUAAGCACAUUUGCAUUCAUGAGGUUAAGCACAAAUAUGGCCUGAACAAGACAUACCUAAUCAGCAGAAUCUCAAACAAAAGAAAAUAAGUCUCUUAAGUUGAGAAGGAAUAACAUCAAGAAACAAAGCAGCGGCAGAAAACCAGCAAGAAUAAAGAAACAACAGCAAAUGAAGCUAAAGAAAACCAACUUUAGAACCCAGAAAAGAUGAAGAGGAACUUUUUUUGUUUUUUGAUGUUUUCUCUGAAAUUCUAAAGCUGGAAUCCCAAAAAUUUUCUCUAAUAAAAAUGAAGAUGAGUGGGAUGGAAUUUCUGAGAGAGUGCAGUCAAUUAGUGUGUUCAAUGAAAAAUCAGUGAAGAUGAGUAUGCGUGUCCAAUUUCUGCAGGGGAAUCCUCUCUUAUAUAGACUAUAUGAGCCUUAUGAGGGAAUGGGAUCAGAUCAAAGAAUCUGCCAGCUUUCCCUUAAAUUCAGGGAAAUGACAUCUUUUUGUACCAGAAAAUGGACAACUGUACCUAAAUUCAGCACCUUUUCUAACAGAUUUGGACAGUUGUCCCUUUCUAGAAGUUUCUUCUCAUUUUCACCCUUUUUAACUUCUGAAAAUUUUCCUUUUUACCCAAAAUCUGAUCUAAUUUAUGGUUUUUAUUGCACUUUAACCCCUACUAACAUCUUCUCGAACCUUCUAGCAAAUUCCAGGCCAAGAUUCCCUUAUUUUUCUCAUUUCUUUUAGCCCCCUCAAGUCCCAGUUAUGUCAAAUAACCACACCAAACACAAAACAUACGGAUAUGGACAAAACCUAAUGCAACAGACGAACCAUUUCAAUUAAUUGAUUAAAC